GCCUGGGAUAGCUCAGUGGGUAGAGCAUGAGACUCGCAAUCUCAGCGUUGCAGGUUUGAGACCCAUGUUGGGCA